rnacentral:rRNA from 1 species
UACGAAGGGGGCUAGCGUUGCUCGGAAUCACUGGGCGUAAAGCGCACGUAGGCGGCUUUUUAAGUCAGGGGUGAAAUCCUGGAGCUCGAACUCCAGAACUGCCUUUGAUACUGAGAAGCUUGAGUCCGGGAGAGGUGAGUGGGAACUGCGAGUGUAGAGGUGAAAUUCGUAGAUAUUCGCAAGAACACCAGUGGCGAAGGCGGCUCACUGGCCGAUACGUGACGCUGACGGCACGAAGCGUGGGAAGCAACAGGGAUUAAGAUGACCCUGAGUCCC